AUUUUCCCGUAAGCUCUGCUGUUUAUGUUUUUCUUUGCACCCCACGUGAUUUUUUUCAGUAUCCUUCAACCUGUUGGCAGCUACGCACUCGAGUGCUUUUUAUGAUACGUCUGAAGGCAGAAGGGAGUCCAAACUGGUACUAGCAAGACGCACCUAAUGUAAAUGAAAGUGUCCGGUGAGUAUAAGUCACACCUUUUGUGUCAAUAGAGGAGCUUUUUUAGAUAUGUCAGAUGACAUUCUUUGUAUUUGUUAAUGCUUAAAGGAGUAUCCUCUGGCUUUUGUUUCCAUUUAUUCUGAGCUUUGUUCAUGCUGAAAACAGAGACAGCCGAUGCAGAAAAUUAAGUUAACUUCAUGGACUAAUGCUAAUCAUCAAGAAGCAGUUUGUCUCAUGUCAAUCGGUGCAAUGACACUAUUAGUCAACUUCAGUUUACACACACACAUUAACAUUACUGACAUGAAUUCUAAAUAGAAAUUAUAAGAGCGCUAUAUUGGGGCAAUUCUGCAUUGGGUCAAUAGUACAGUUUCCCUUUAUUAAUGACAGUAUCUUAAUAUAAACUCUGACUUUUUGGCUAAAAACAACUCAAGACCCUCCUGUAUCCCUUGGAGAACACCUUUCUUUGGAUGUGGUAUAUUCACUGAUACAUGACGAUUCACCAAAAGGAAGAGAAAAAAAAAAAUAUAUAAAAGGUAUUCGUUAUGUAAGAAAGAAGCCGUUUAUUUUCUUAACAUUUCUGUGCAUGAUUUCACAGUAGCACUGUGAUUUCUAUAUUUUGAAGUAUACAAAAUAAAAAGACCAGCAUAGAUCAACAUACAUUAAUAACAAAACAACUAAGUUGAAAUUACAUACUUUGCUUAAAGUACUUUGGUAUGACGUCAAA